rnacentral:snoRNA from 1 species
UGGAAAAAACAACACAGUGAGUAAGAUAGGAGCUCUGAAGUAAAGGUUGGAGCUCUGGUCAUUAUAUUAAGAAGAAGAAGUUGAUUUCAGAAUACAAUUCAAGGAUAUUACAUGGAGCAAAAAGCAACUGAACUUUCCC